rnacentral:rRNA from 1 species
AGCGAACGCUGGCGGCAGGCCUAACACAUGCAAGUCGAACGAAGUCUUCGGACUUAGUGGCGGACGGGUGAGUAACACGUGGGAACGUGCCUUUAGGUUCGGAAUAACUCAGGGAAACUUGUGCUAAUACCGAAUGUGCACUUCGGUGGAAAGAUUUAUCUGCUUUAGAGCGGCCCGCGUAUGAUUAGCUAGUUGGUGGGGUAAUUGACCACCAAGGCUACGAUCAGUAGCUGGUCUGAGAGGAUGACCAGCCACAUUGGGACUGAGACACGGCCCAAACUCCUACGGGAGGCAGCAGUGGGGAAUCUUGCGCAAUGGGAGAAAGCAUGACGCAGCCAUGCCGCGUGGAUGAUGAAGGUCUUAGGAUUGUAAAAUCCUUUCACCGGUGAAGAUAAUGACUGUAGCCGGAGAAGAAGCCCCGGCUAACUUCGUGCCAGCCGCCGCGGUAACAC